GUGGCGAUAAAAACACUAUUCCAUAGCAAACUAUGGAAGUUGUUUAUCUAUUUACUUAUAUGAUCUGUGGCCGCCGCUUUUCUCUUUAGUGAAAGUUAUUAGUGAGUUUCACGCAGUUUGACGUACGUUUAUUCACGUGCUUUGCACGCUGCAGAGGAUCGGAUCCGGCCGUUUGUUCGUUGAAAUAUAUUGAACCUCUCGAGACUGGCGGCUCUUCAUCAGUUUUCCGCAGUCGAUCUGCAACAAGUUCUGUGCUUGCGACUUUCCUUGCUUAUUAUGAAUGAACCAGCGAUUUUAAGGAUUCCUGACGUGUUGCGCGCCAGUUGCCGGCAAGUUGCUGAAAACUGAGUUUAAAGUCUAUGGCCAAUAGAUUGUUGGAAACUUGCCGUUAUUAUAUUUUGAAAAUUGUUACUGACAAAAACAUACUGAAAAAAGGAUACCUCCUUCUGUUGCUUUGCUGACAACUUAUGAGCAAUAUUUGUGGCAAGUUGCCGACAAUUUGCAAUAAUUUGGUUAUCUGGGUUAUUGGCUUCCAUCUGAUCAAGAUGCUGGAAAUUUUGUGAGAAAGGAAAAACCUGUAAAUAAAUCCUGGCCAAAAUAUUCAAUUGAAGUUUUAAGAUACUAUGAUUUUUAUAUAAAAGCAAAAGCUGGUGUUCAAGGAUUUAUAGCAGAAGGUUCAGCCUAUGAGACUGAAAAAGAAACUGGAAGAGGAAAACGAAAAAGAGUACGAAAUAGACUUUUUGAAGAUUCCUCUUCUAACGAAAAACUUAUAAAACGCAACACGAAGUUAAUUCCAUCACCGCCAGAUAUUUCUUUCAAAAAUAAUAAAAAAGCAGAACACGUGCCCAAUUGUCUUUCAAAAACUUCUAAUCUUUCAAAAGCAUGCUCAAAAAGUAAUAUGGAUAGACUAAAGAGGACAUAAAAUACAAAUAAGAAUACUAACAAUGCUAAGAAAGUACAAAGUCUCUUCUUGAAGGCAUUGAUUCUGAUGAAGAAUAUGUUGUGCACACAAAAAAGUCUAUUUCUGUACCGUCAAAUAUUCUGUUUAAACACAAACAGUUACUACCAAAUUCUGAGGAAGAUGUACAAGAAGCAGAACACGAGAAUAAAUGUCUUUCGACUUCCUUUUUUCCUUUAAAAACAUCUUCAAGCAGCAAUAUUAUUGAGAAACUAAAAAGGACACAGGAGAUUAAUAAUGCUUCUGUUAGUCGCACUAAGUUAAAUACAACUGAAUCCAAUCGCCAAAACAAAAAGUUAUCUUGCAAGGACAUGGUGCAAUCACCCAUUAAGAAGACGUUAGCGGAAACGGAAAGUGUUUUUUCAUCAAACUCUAUUCUUCUCCGCAAUCGAGACCCUUCAGUCCAAUUAAAUCUAGAUUUUAUCAGCGUAUGCUUUCUAUUUCAACAGCAAAUAAUUCUUCAGAAAAAUCUGAUGAUAAAUUUUCUUUAACAAAUUUAAUAAUAAAUAUAUUAUUUUACUUUUAAAUUUAUUUUAAAAUUUAAUAAAUAUCAAAUAAUUGAACAGUAAUUAUUAGUGGCUUAAGAGCCUAGCUCACUUAGCUGGUUUUCAUUGCUAACAAGUGUACAUAAUAUCUUACUUAAUUACAAACUAAUAAAUAUUAGAUUAAACAAUCUUCAAAUGACAAACGUUUUGACCUAUUUAAUUUGGCUUUCUUCAAUAUCAAUUGAUAUAAACAAAGUAAUUGUAAGUGUCGAUAUAGGACCAUUUCUCCGCAAACGUGCUUUUACCGAAUCCAUAACAUAUCCAUAUACUUUAGAAUUCUUUCUCUCAUUGUUCCAUGCUUAUGAUCAGUUAAAGAUCGUUUAAUUAAUUAUUAAUUUGUAAUUGCGAGUAAAAUAAUAUGUACAAUUGUUAGCAAUGGGAAUCAGCUAGGCUCUUGAGCUCCUACUGUUUAAUUGAUUAAUAAGAGCCUGAAUAACAAAUUAUUAUUUAAUAAUAAAUUACAUUUCAAGAAAAUGUAUUAUAUUUAACGGUUUUUUUUUAAUAUUGAAGAAGAUAGGACAGAAAAACUGGAAAAGCUGUGUGAGGGAAUAUGUGUUCGACUAGAAGAAAUUAAUAAGAAGAUAGGUACAAUAAUUUUGAAUCUAGGAAGGCGCAACAGAUCUCUUCCGAAUGAAAAGAGAAAACCAAUAAAUCUUCCAAAUCUGUCAGUUAAAACAGAAGAUGAUUUACAUUUAUUGGAAACAUUUUUAGAAAAUGACAACAAUUAUGCAGCUUUGAUUAUUUUUGUUUUAAUCCUAUUUGAAAAACUUGGUUAUGCGGUGAUAAUGUAACUUUAUUGUUGGACAAUAAUACAAUGAUAGAUCUCUUGGAUAUAUAAAAGAUUCGAGUGGAUACUUAAUUGCACGUGAGAAUGUAAUGUACGGAGCACAGGUAGAGAGAAACGAAGUGACGAUUGAUAGAUCUGAGAUCUCGCACCAAUAAAUCGCCGUUCGAGAUCCAUCGAUUGUCGAUCGAUGACGAGUACUCGCAUCAGUGAUGCGCGCGCAUACACAACAGAGCACGCAUAGUACCCGAAAGUUUUUAAAGCUCUUAAUCCAACAAAAACCAAUGUGUUAAGUUUUUAAACCUUAUCAUAAGUGCUCUUUAUGAGUUAAGUAAAAAUUUUAAAAAUUUAUAGUCAGUUGAAACACGAGAUAUUUUCUUACGUUUCUAUUUUUGUUUGUUUUUUAGUACGAUUAUUUGAGUGCGUUUAUUACAUCUAAAGAUGUAUCAAAAUCCACAGUAAAAAUUGCAAUAAAACUUCUCAAUGGCAGCUACAAUGAGUUUCAAAGGACCAAAUAAGAAAAAAUCGUUGUCUAAAUUGAAAAUCUGGGAGGUUAUAUAAGAUGAAAAUUGCUCAUGAUAUAUUUCUUAAGGCUUUAUACUAUAUGUGUGUGUGUGUGUGUUUGUGUGUGCGUGCGUGUGCGUGUGCGUGUGCGUGUGCGUGUGCGUGUGCGUGUGUGUGUGUGUGUGUGUGUGUGUGUAAUCAUUUAUUUUUUUUUUAAUUUAAGACUAUAUUCUUUUGAGACUAUAAUUCCAUGUGUUUCAGGUUCAUUAUUAAUGAAAUUCGAAGAUUCUGCGCUACAAGAAGCAGAAGAAACGAUUAAAACAUGGUUGGCCAAUGCUCCGUGGCGCAAACAGGACAAUGGCUCUUAUAAAAGAAAUAAAAACGUAAACUGAUAAUAUCUACGUUCUUUUUUUCUUUUCUUUGUUAAAUUUGUUGUAAUUGAUGUUCAAUUUAAUAAAUGUAA